rnacentral:rRNA from 1 species
CGUGUAGGCGGCCGAUUAAGCCAGGUGUAAAAUGUUACAGCUCAACUGUAAACCCGCAUCUGGAACUGGUCGGCUAGAGGACGAGAGAGGAAAGUGGAAUUCCUAGUGUAGCGGUGGAAUGCGUAGAUAUUAGGAGGGACACCAGUGGCGAAGGCGGCUUUCUGGCUCGUACCUGACGCUGAGGCGCGAAAGCGUGGGGAGCAAACA